GGGGAGGCUGAGCCCCUUAGAUUUGCAUUCCUAACACUCUGCAUCCUAUUGUUGGGCUGAAGGAAAAAUCAGCUGUGAAUCAGACAAGCAUGCCAAUUUUUAAGAUGAACAAAAAACCCAUCAGCACAUUUUCUAGAAGAAAUUCUUCAUAAGGUAUUUCCCUUCUACCAUUUUGUGUUUUUUUACAAAAAAUACACUGACAAUAUAAAGUAUUUUCUGAGCUGAAGUCAUUCUGUUCCCAACAGUCUAUUGCCUGUAGAAAAUGGAUGGCACUGGAAAAACAUUGGUCAAAUAGUCAGCAUGACUCCCUUGUUAAGAUUUUGGAGGAACCAUGAAACCCCCUGCUGCCCAGUGAAGGGAUCGCAACUAUAACAAUCUGCACCUGCAUUCAUUUCUGCCAAGUCCAAGCUCACACAACUGUGGAACUUUGCUCAAGGCAUCCAGGAAAAUAGAUUUCUACAUGUCACAUGUCCUCACCAUCUGGGUUAUGCUCACAGCCUCCCCGGAACCAGGAAUAAAAGCCGGCUAUAGUAGUACUCAAUCUAAUUAGCACU
rnacentral:lncRNA from 1 species